rnacentral:lncRNA from 1 species
UGCGGAGUCCGAGGCCACCCGCGGCCUCCGCUGCCUCCUCCGCAUCGGUGAGCUCGCCUGACGCAGGCGAGCUCCCACCACACGGCCCCCACAGGCCACGGCCGGACCAGCGUCCGCUCCUCUGAAGUCGUCGCCUCUUCUCGUCUUCCUCUUCUCCGGUUGUUCCCGACCUACGGGAUGGAUGGAUCUAUGGAUGGUUAGCGCCUGAUGGGCGGUUGGAUCCGAC